rnacentral:rRNA from 1 species
UGGUGGAGUGAUUUGUCUGCUUAAUUGCGAUAACGAACGAGACCUUAACCUACUAAAUAGCCAGGCCCGCUUUUGCGGGUCGCCGGCUUCUUAGAGGGACUAUCGGCUCAAGCCGAUGGAAGUUUGAGGCAAUAACA